ACACAUUCAGGAAGGCCCCCGGGGCAACGCUGCACACUAACACACUCAGGAAGGGCGGCUUCUGAGAACUCAAUAG